rnacentral:tRNA from 1 species
CGCGGGGUGGAGCAGUCUGGUAGCUCGUUGGGCUCAUAACCCAAAGGUCGUAGGUUCAAAUCCUUCCCCCGCAACCA